UGCUUUACACAUGCAAGUCGAACGGUAGAGGGGGCAACCCCUCGAGAGUGGCGAACGGGUGAGUAAUAUAUCGGAACGUGCCCAGUCGUGGGGGAUAACGUAGCGAAAGUUACGCUAAUACCGCAUACGGUCUAAGGAUGAAAGCGGGGGAUCGCAAGACCUCGCGCGAUUGGAGCGGCCGAUAUCAGAUUAGGUAGUUGGUGGGGUAAAGGCUCACCAAGCCAACGAUCUGUAGCUGGUCUGAGAGGACGACCAGCCACACUGGGACUGAGACACGGCCCAGACUCCUACGGGAGGCAGCAGUGGGGAAUUUUGGACAAUGGGGGAAAGCCUGAUCCAGCCAUACCGCGUGAGUGAAGAAGGCCUUCGGGUUGUAAAGCUC
rnacentral:rRNA from 1 species